UGGAGGUGUUGUGUUCGAGGC
rnacentral:siRNA from 1 species